GUGCUCCCUUCAGUAGCACAUAUAUUAAAAUUGGAAUGAUACAGAGAAGAUUAGCAUGGCCCCUGAGCAAGGAUGACACGCAAACUAAUGAAGUGUUCCAUAUUUAA